GAUGAACGCUGGCGGCGUGCCUAAUACAUGCAAGUCGAGCGAACGGACGAGAAGCUUGCUUCUCUGAUGUUAGCGGCGGACGGGUGAGUAGCACGUGGAUAACCUACCUAUAAGACUGGGAUAACUUCGGGAAACCGGAGCUAAUACCGGAUAAUAUUUUGAACCGCAUGGUUCAAAAGUGAAAGACGGUCUUGCUGUCACUUAUAGAUGGAUCCGCGCUGCAUUAGCUAGUUGGUAAGGUAACGGCUUACCAAGGCAACGAUGCAUAGCCGACCUGAGAGGGUGAUCGGCCACACUGGAACUGAGACACGGUCCAGACUCCUACGGGAGGCAGCAGUAGGGAAUCUUCCGCAAUGGGCGAAAGCCUGACGGAGCAACGCCGCGUGAGUGAUGAAGGUCUUCGGAUCGUAAAACUCUGUUAUUAGGGAAAAACAUAUGUGUAAGUAACUGUGCACAUCUUGACGGUACCUAAUCAGAAAGCCACGGCUAACUACGUG
rnacentral:rRNA from 1 species